AUACGGAGGUUGCAAGCGUUGUUCGGAAUUAUUGGGCGUAAAGAGCAUGUAGGCGGACUGUUAAGUCGGGUGUGAAAGCCCGGGGCUCAACCCCGGAAGUGCAUUGGAUACUGGCAGUCUUGAGUAUGGGAGAGGAAAGUGGAAUUCCGAGUGUAGGAGUGAAAUCCGUAGAUAUUCGGAGGAACACCAGUGGCGAAGGCGGCUUUCUGGACCAAUACUGACGCUGAGAUGCGAAAGCGUGGGGAGCGAACAGGAUUAGAAACCCUAGUAGUCC
rnacentral:rRNA from 1 species